rnacentral:rRNA from 1 species
GACGAACGCUGGCGGCGUGCUUAACACAUGCAAGUCGAACGGAAAGGCCCUGCUUUUGUGGGGUGCUCGAGUGGCGAACGGGUGAGUAACACGUGAGUAACCUGCCCUUGACUUUGGGAUAACUUCAGGAAACUGGGGCUAAUACCGGAUAGGAGCUCCUGCUGCAUGGUGGGGGUUGGAAAGUUUCGGCGGUUGGGGAUGGACUCGCGGCUUAUCAGCUUGUUGGUGGGGUAGUGGCUUACCAAGGCUUUGACGGGUAGCCGGCCUGAGAGGGUGACCGGCCACAGUGGGACUGAGAUACGGGCCAGACGGCUACGGGAGGCAGCAGUGGGGAAUAGUGCACAAUGGGCGGAGGCCUGAUGCAGCAACGCCGCGUGCGGGAUGACGGCCUUCGGGUUGUAAACCGCUUUCGCCUGUGACGGAGCGUGAGUGACGGUAAUAGGUAAAGAAGCACCGGCUAACUACGU